rnacentral:rRNA from 1 species
UACAGAGGUGCUCAAGCGUUGUUCGGAUUCAUUGGGCGUAAAGGGUGCGUAGGCGGCGUCGGUAAGUCGGGUGUGAAAUCCUCGGAGCUUAACUCCGAAACUGCAUUCGAUACUGCGGUGCUUGAGGACUGGAGAGGAGACUGGAAUUCAUGGUGUAGCAGUGAAAUGCGUAGAGAUCAUGAGGAAGACCAGUGGCGAAGGCGGGUCUCUGGACAGUUCCUGACACUGAGG